rnacentral:rRNA from 1 species
GAUGAACGCUGGCGGCGUGCCUAAUACAUGCAAGUCGAGCGAACAGACGAGGAGCUUGCUCCUCUGACGUUAGCGGCGGACGGGUGAGUAACACGUGGAUAACCUACCUAUAAGACUGGGAUAACUUCGGGAAACCGGAGUUAAUACCGGAUAAUAUAUUGAACCGCAUGGUUCAAUAGUGAAAGACGGUUUUGCUGUCACUUAUAGAUGGAUCCGCGCCGCAUUAGCUAGUUGGUAAGGUACGGCUUACCAAGGCAACGAUGCGUAGCCGACCUGAGAGGGUGAUCGGCCACACUGGAACUGAGACACGGUCCAGACUCCUACGGGAGGCAGCAGUAGGGAAUCUUCCGCAAAGGGCGAAAGCUUGACGGAGCAACGCCGCGUGAGUGAUGAAGGUCUUCGGAUCGUAAAACUCUGUUAUUAGGGAAGAACAAAUGUGUAAGUAACUAUGCACGUCUUGACGGUACCUAAUCAGAAAGCCACGGCUAACUACGUG